rnacentral:tRNA from 1 species
UCCCUGGUAGCUCAGAUGGUAAAGAAUCUGCUUGCAAUGCAGGAGACCUGGGUUCGAUCCCUGGGUUGGGAA